rnacentral:snRNA from 1 species
AAAGCGAUACAGCUUGUACAGCU